AUGCGAUGUCUCUGUUGAAGCGUUAAAGGCGUUUGGCGGCGUCUAAACUAUGAGACCUGAGCUGAUAGCUCUGAGACGGUCAAGUGGCCCUGAUCCUCUUCCGUACACUCUGGAAUCUCUUUUACCUCAGGAAUCUGUCAGCAUGCAGCGAGUCGGGGAAUUCUGACUCCGAGGAUCGGGCCUCUGGCGGGAUCCUGUUUCGAUACUCUUUCACACAAAGUGCUUCAAGAGUGCAGGACGCGUCAUUAGACUCCCCGGGCUCCUGGGGCCGAAGCUUCAGAUGUUUGUUUUCCUUUAACAGAUCUCACAAGAUGGAGGGAAAUCUACUAAAGCCUGCAUGAAGCCCCUGGAAGA